AACGAACGCUGGCGGCGCGCCUAAUACAUGCAAGUCGAGCGAGAAGGUGUAGCAAUACACUUGUAAAGCGGCGAACGGGUGAGGAAUACAUGGGUAAUCUACCAUCGAGUGGGGAAUAACCAACCGAAAGGUUGGCUAAUACCGCGUACGCCUCCGAGUCUUCGGGUUCGGAGGGAAAGCUGCACUGUGAGUGUAGCGCUCUUUGAUGAGCUCAUGUCCUAUCAGCUUGUUGGUAGGGUAACGGCCUACCAAGGCUUUGACGGGUAGCUGGUCUGAGAGGAUGAUCAGCCACACUGGAACUGAGACACGGUCCAGACUCCUACGGGAGGCAGCAGUAAGGAAUAUUGCGCAAUGGGCGAAAGCCUGACGCAGCGACGCCGCGUGGGGGAUGAAGGUCUUCGGAUUGUAAACCCCUUUCGGGAGGGAAGAUGGAGCGAGCAAUCGUUCGGACGGUACCUCCAGAAGCAGCCACGGCCAACUUCGUGCCAGC
rnacentral:rRNA from 1 species